GCCAGAGAGCUGGAAGUGGUAAAAAUCCGCCCCUUGAAAGCCGCCUGACUCUGCAUAGUAAGACUGCUGUUUUUGUCACGUCUAAUGGACUGGAACGCACAAAAAAAGGUCGAUGCCCCUCUUCCCUGGGUGGACACCUGUGGCUUCAGAAGUCACAUUCUCAGGAGACUCGGAACCUCAGAGACUUCCCGGGCAGCCGCUCCUCUCUGGCCCCAGGAAGCAGCAGCAAGGCCUUUUCCACAGCUUAGCAGGAGCAAAGGGCUUGGCAGAGGGUUUCCUGAAAAGAGAACCAGGGCAAGAAAAAAGAGCGCUGGACACGCUGUUUCCUGACCGGACUUGCUGUGUACUCACAAGAGUACACUGGUUAGGCUGAAUGAAGUUUCAUACUGAUGAAUGGAAACAUUAAGGAAAAUCUCCAAGUGAACAGAAACAGGAGAGAAGCCUUCUUUCUAGGAGCAUGGAUGAUGCGUCUGGCCUGGGUUUGAGGAUCAGAUGUUACCUUGCUCUGUGCCCCCGAGCCUGUCACACUACCUUCAGCGCCUGAUGUCCAGUGAUGCUUCUUUGGGUUCAUCACCCAGAGUGGCCCAUGAGGACUGGGAGCAGGGCUGCUGGUAGCUAUGAUGCCAAUGCUUCACUUCAUGCAAACCUCUGCAGGUGAAAGGAAAAAUUAAGACGUGGACAAAGAGAAGCACCUUCAUCCCAAGAACUGCUACCGUCCUCUUUAUAAGGGAGAGAAUUACGCUCAAAGAGUACCGACACGGGAGAGCUGUGCAAUAACCUUGAGACUGCUGUGUUGUGAAGAAGCCUAAGACACGAAAAGAGGUCCAGCAGUUCCAGUUGCCCAAGCUGAGGCCCAGACAUCGGAGUGAGGCCCUUUUAGACUGUUUGAUCCUAGCUAACCCAGACUCAGUAAGUCCACGCAAGACCAAGUGGAGCACCAUCCAGGCGACCACAGAAUCAUGA